GAUGAACGCUGGCGGCGUGCCUAAUACAUGCAAGUCGAGCGAACAGACGAGGAGCUUGCUCCUCUGACGUUAGCGGCGGACGGGUGAGUAACACGUGGAUAACCUACCUAUAAGACUGGGAUAACUUCGGGAAACCGGAGCUAAUACCGGAUAAUAUAUUGAACCGCAUGGUUCAAUAGUGAAAGACGGUUUUGCUGUCACUUAUAGAUGGAUCCGCGCCGCAUUAGCUAGUUGGUAAGGUAACGGCUUACCAAGGCAACGAUGCGUAGCCGACCUGGGAGGGGGAUCGGCCACAUGGGAACUGAGACAGGGACCAGACUACUACGGGAGGCAGCAGUAGGGAACCGUCCGCAAUGGGCGAAAGCCUGACGGAGCAACGCCGCGUGAGUGAUGAAGGUCUUCGGAUCGUAAAGCUCUGUUAUUAGGGAAGAACAAAUGUGUAAGUAACUAUGCACGUCUUGACGGUACCUAAUCAGAAAGCCACGGCUAACUACAUG
rnacentral:rRNA from 1 species